UUGGUCAACAUCGGAAGUGAACAAGAUUUCUGCACAGAGAUUUUCCUUGAUCAAGAGUGCAACCAGAUACGUUAGCUGCUGUGGAUAUGGACUUUACUGUCAGAGGAAAAUUGGAAGUGAAAAAGAUUUUUGCAGAGAUUUUCCCUGGUCAAGAGUGCAACAUGAGUCGUGGAUAUGAACUUUACUGUCAGAUGUACAUUGAUUGAAAAGUGAACAAGAUAUCUGCACUGAGAAUGAAUGAAGUUGAAGAAAGUUGAAAGGCACCCCAGAAGAACCUGAAUUAUUUUAGCCCUAUCCUAGAUUCAUUGAAUAUUUUAGUGUGUGAUAACAUGUGUGAAAUGUGAUCAAUUAUGUGACAAUUUUCAAAACUUGGAUUUAUA
rnacentral:lncRNA from 1 species